rnacentral:rRNA from 1 species
GGUUGAUCCUGCCAGUAGUCAUAUGCUUGUCCUAAAGAUUAAGCCAUGCAUGUGUACGUUCAAGCCCUUGUACGGUGAAACUGCGGAUGGCUCAUUAUAUCAGUGAUAAUUUGGUUGAUGGAGAGAUAUCGUGGAUAACCGUGGUAAUUCUAGAGCUAAUACAUGCAGAGCAGACGCAAGUCUGGCAUUUAUUAGAUAAAGCCUUGGCGGCGGGGUAGCCCGUCGCUGCGGUGAGAGAUGAUAACUGGGCGGAUCGCGCUUUGGCGCGACGCAUCAAGGAAAUUUCUGCCCU